rnacentral:lncRNA from 10 species
CGGCCAGCCGCCCCGUCCGGGAGGUGAGGGGGCACCUCUGCCCGGCCGCCCCUACUGGGAAGUGAGGAGCCCCUCUGCCCGGCCACCACCCCGUCUGGGAGGUGUACCCAACAGCUCAUUGAGAACGGGCCAUGAUGACAAUGGCGGUUUUGUGGAAUAGAAAGGGGGGAAAGGUGGGGAAAAGAUUGAGAAAUCGGAUGGUUGCCGUGUCUGUGUAGAAAGAGGUAGACAUGGGAGACUUUUCAUUUUGUUCUGUACUAAGAAAAAUUCUUCUGCUUUGUGAUCCUGUUGAUCGGUGACCCUACCCCCAACCCUGUGCUCUCUGAAACAUGUGCUGUGUCCACUCAGGGUUAAAUGGAUUAAGGGUGGUGCAAGAUGUGCUUUGUUAAACAGAUGCUUGAAGGCAGCAUGCUCGUUAAGAGUCAUCACCACUCCCUAAUCUCAAGUACCCAGGGACACAAACACUCUGCCUAGGAAAACCAGAGACCUUUGUUCACCUGUUUAUCUGCUGACCUUCCCUCCACUAUUGUCCUAUGACCCUGCCAAAUCCCCCUCUGCAAGAAACACCCAAGAAUGAUCAAUUAAAAAAAAAAAAUUUUUUUUAAAUUUGCUUUUCUUUUUUUUUUUGAGACAGGAUCUCACUCUGUUGCCCAGGCUGGAGUGCAGUGGGAGACUCCGUCCCCCAAACAAACAAACAAACAAACAAACAAAAAUUAGCCAGCGUGUUGGCGGGCACCUAUAAUCCCAGCUACUCGGGAGGCUGAGGCAGGAGAAUCACUGGAACCUGGGAGGCAGAGGUUGCAGUGAGCCAAGAUUGCGCCGGCGCCACUGCACUCCAGCCUGGGUGACAGAGUGAGACUCUGUCUCAGAAAAACAAAACAAAACAAAACAAAACAAAACAAAAAGUUAGCCGGGUGUGGUGGCGGGCACCUGUAGUCCCAGCUACUCAGGAGUCUGAGGUUGCAGAAUCACUUGAACAUGGGAGGCAGAGGUUGCAGUGAGCCGAGAUCGUGCCACUGCACUCCAGCCUGAGUAACAGAGUAAGACCCUGUCUCAAAAACAAAAACAAACACAAAAACGGAGUGGAGGGUGGGAGGUCUCAUUAUGUUGCCCAGGCUGGCCUCUAACUUAGCUCAAGCAAUCCUUCCGCUUCAGCCUCUGUGAUAGCUGGGACCACAGGUGGACCCACCAGGCUCGCCUCUCCAGUGUUUUUUGUUUAUUUGUUUUUGUUUUUGUUUUUGAGACGGAGUUUCGCUCUGUUGCCCAGGCUGGAGUGUAGUGGUGCCAUCUCAGCUCACUGCAAUCUCCGCCUGCCGGGUUCAAGCAAUUCUGCCUCAGCCUCCCGAGUUGCUGGGAUUUCAGGCGCCCACCAGCACGCCCAGCUAAUUUUUGUAUUUUUAGUGGAGACAAAGUUUCACCAUGUUGGCCAGGCUGGUCUCGAACUCCUGACCUCAGGUGAUCUGCCCGCCUCAGCCUCCCAAAGUGCUGGGAUUACAGGCGUGAGCCACCGCACCCGGCUGCCUCUCCAGUGUUUUAAGGAAGUCGCCGUUGAGUGUCUGGGCCGGCCUUCGGGUGAAAGCGGUCCCAAGAGUUCUCCGAGUCGCCGGGGAAGGGAAGUGCCUCCUGGGCCCCUUCCUGCCCUGCCCCACCGCACUUGCUUCUGUUUCCACCGCUGGGGAGGGAAGGGUCCCCCGCACCUGUGGCUCUUGUGUGCCCAAAACUUCUAUUGCCCGCAGCGCUGGGAAAAAAGUGGGGCUGUCGAGAAUCUGAGCUGCCUCCCUCCCGGCCCAUUUUACAGACGGGUAUAGUGAGGUCUGGCUUGGCCCGGAGGAAUAGCCAGGGCGGCCCAGAGAGGAUGAUGCCCUCCCGCAGCCACACAGUAGGGUGUGAGGGUAUGGACUGCCUCCUUCUGUGACCCCUGGCUCGCUGGUGACCAGCUGCGUGGCCUAGGGGCGCUUGGGGUGCGAGAAGGACUGAGGUUCGGGGAAGAGUAGGGACCUGCCCAAGACCCAGACUCCCAGGAGAAUGUGACCCCACUUCAUCUCUUCCCCUCUGGGAUGCAUUUCCACCUCCUCACCGGGAAAUACCACCAGACCCCCAACCCUACCCCAGGGAAGAACUCAGCGCUGCAGACCCUGUGGGGUAAACUGAGGUGGGGCCCUGGGUAACACGAGUUGGGGGCCUUCUCUGAGAAUCAGGGACUCCAGGCCUGGGAUCAACGGGGACACUGGGGUCCACCAGGGAGAUCUCCCACUCUACUUCCCGCGGGUUUCCUGGACUCUAAUAGGAGGGUCCCCCUGCUUUGAAAGGGGUCUCCCCACCGCACAGUCUAAGUUGAGGGAGUCUGGCUCCAGAGAAGGGAACACCCAGACCCUGGGUAGACGUUCCCGGUUAGUGGGGGUCCUGACCAGGGCGGGGUGGGUGUCCAGGCUGGAGUGCAGUGGUGCGAUCUCAGCCCAUUACAACCUCUACCUCCCAGGCUCAAGCGAUCUUCCCACUUCAGCCUGUAGCUGGGACUCCAGGCGCGCGCCACUAAGCCUGGCUAAUUUUUGUAGUUUUUGGAGACAUGGGGUUUCACCAUGUCGCCCAGGCUAGUCUUGAACUCCUGACCUGUGGGAGGGUCAGGACCCCGGGAAGGGGGUUUCCCCCUCCUUGAAAAGGAUCACCCGACCGCAUAGGUUCUAAGUUGAGAGGCUUCCGGCCCUGAAGAGGGUCGCGGCCGAGGGGGUCCCGGCUG